rnacentral:rRNA from 1 species
AGCCUGAACGCUGGCGGCGUGGCUAAGACAUGCAAGUCGAACGGGUGUAGCAAUACACCAGUGGCGGACGGGUGAGUAAUAAAUCGCUAAUGUACCCCGGAGCCAGGGAUAGCCUUCCGAAAGGGAGGGUAAUACCUGAUGAGACCACGAACAGGCAUCUGUUUGUGCUCAAAGCCGUAAGGCACUCUGGGAGCAGGCGAUUACGUAUCAGCUUGUUGGUGAGGUAACGGCUCACCAAGGCGACGACGCGUAGCUGGUCUGAGAGGACGGCCAGCCACAUUGGGACUGAGACACUGCCCAGACUCCUACGGGGGGCUGCAGUAACGAAUCUUCCGCAAUGCACGAAAGUGUGACGGAGCGACGCCGCGUGUAGGACGAAGUCCUUCGGGAUGUAAACUACUGUCAGGGUAAGAAAGUUCUGAUCUACCCAGAGGAAGAGACGGCUAACUCUGCGCCAGCAGCCGCGGU